UACAGAGGUCCCAAGCGUUGUCCGGAAUCAUUGGGCGUAAAGCGCGCGUAGGCGGCCAGAUAAGUCCGGUGUGAAAGUCACAGGCUCAACCUGUGAAUGCCGCUGGAAACUGUCUGGCUUGAGUCCGGAAGGGGCGAGUGGAAUUCCUGGUGUAGCGGUGAAAUGCGCAGAUAUCAGGAGGAACACCAAUGGCGAAGGCAGCUCUCUGGAACGGUACUGACGCUGAGGCGCGAAAGCGUGGGGAGCGAACAGG
rnacentral:rRNA from 1 species